rnacentral:rRNA from 1 species
UACGUAGGGUGCAAGCGUUGUCCGGAAUUAUUGGGCGUAAAGAGUUCGUAGGCGGCUUGUCGCGUCCGUUGUGAAAACUCGGGGCUCAACCCCGAGCGUGCACCCGAUACUGCCGGGCUUGAGGCAGGUAGGGGAGAUCGGAAUUCCUGGUGUAGCGGUGAAAUGCGCAGAUAUCAGGAGGAACACCGGUGGCGAAGGCGGAUCUCUGGGCCUGUCCUGACGCUGAGGCGCGAAAGCUAGGGGAGCGAACAGG